rnacentral:rRNA from 1 species
ACUCCUACGGGAGGCAGCAGUGGGGAAUAUUGCACAAUGGGGGAAACCCUGAUGCAGCCAUGCCGCGUGUGUGAAGAAGGCCUUCGGGUUGUAAAGCACUUUCAGUAGGAGGAAGGUAGUGUAGUUAACACCUGCACUAUUUGACGUUACCUACAGAAGAAGCACCGGCUAACUCCGUGCCAGCAGCCGCGGUAAUACGGAGGGUGCGAGCGUUAAUCGGAAUUACUGGGCGUAAAGCGCAUGCAGGCGGCCUGUUAAGUCAGAUGUGAAAGCCCGGGGCUUAACCUCGGAAUUGCAUUUGAAACUGGCAGGCUAGAGUCUUGUAGAGGGGUUAGAAUUUCAGGUGUAGCGGUGAAAUGCGUAGAGAUCUGAAGG